AUAGUUUAAGUCCAUUAUUCUGUAAGUGGUCUGCACUGUUAAUCCUUCCUGCAAAGUUCUGAGAAAAGGUGACAUCUUUAUUAUUAGUUUUCUGAAAUGUAUGGGUUAAAGACUCCACUUUUUGUGUGUUGGUAUUUUAAUUAAAAUUAAGUUUUGUUGAUUCAAUUGCCCUUGGGGCCAGUCUUUAAUUCAGGCACUGUCUUAAGAUGUGCAUAUCUUCAGAGUUGCUAAAGUCUAGUUUGCCUAUCUCAGGGAAAAUAGUUUCUGAGCCACUUUUACAUACAUAAGAGAACUUUAAACAAUUUUGACAAUCACCACUGUAACAACUAAUUAUAGAGUCAAUAACAUAUCUCAGUGCCCUUUUAAUCAACUCUAUGGUCCCUUGAUUUGUUCUUAAGCAAGUCAUCAAUGCAGAAUAGCAGCGCAUUGCUAUAUAUGCGCUGAGCAAAGUGUUUUCGCAUUUUGUCUCUAGUGUUUUUGAUUUUGCUGGAAACACUUGACCAGAAAAUGGUGCUUUUUUUCUAUUUGUUUUUUCAGAGCUUUGGUAAAGUGUCGUAUGUUCCGAAGACUUUCAACACUGUCAUAUGCAGAGUGGGCUCGGCUAUCACCAUCAGUAGCUAGUUAAGGUGCCAACUGUGACCUCUCCAGAAAUAUCCUCAAGGAUCUGCUGCACAUAGAUUGGCUGUGCAGACUCCACUGUGCUCUGGACAGUAGACAUCUUCCCCUCUACUUCUGAGCAGGUACCUUUACCAUACAGCAUGGUUAGCAAGUGACUACUGAGACAGGAGCCAGGGACAGGUGUUUUUAUAGUAUUGUCUCUCCCAGGUGUGCAGAAAAACAGGCAACUGCAUGACCCCAGUGCAGGGCAGGGGGGGAGGGGUACCCAGCUUAGUGGUGCAAUGUGGGCUUAGUGACAUAUACAGCAACCACAUUUUCAACUUGACAGGGCUCAGUCACCAAGAGAUCAUUCUCAGUCAUAUUGGGCAGCGCAGUUGGCAGUGUAUGAAGGUUUUAAUUUUUGGUGUCUGAAGGACCAGGCACAGUUGUGGUGCAGUCGUGAGACCUCUGGCGUGAGACCUCUGGCGGAGGGAGCUACUGACUGUGAGUGGUGCAGUGGUUUGUUUACAAACAGAGGGGUGCACAUGUUCAAGUAAUGCCGGUAAGAAAGUUUUCUUGAUGACAGUAUAUUUUUGUGCCAUUUGGAGUUAUGUCAGUGUGUUUGCUGUCAAUGGGGAUGUGAAAUGUUUCACCUAUUUAUUUUGUUCAUGCAGUUUUACAGGCAUUUCUUAGUAUGGCCAUCAGUGGGAAAUUAUAUGGUGGUUUCUGCCCUGGGGCCGGUUUCACAAAGCAGUAGUUAGUUAGCGAUCGAUAGUUAGCCUCACGCUAGUUAU